rnacentral:lncRNA from 1 species
UAAAAGUAAAAUAAAUACCGUACGUGAUAUGAAUGUAGUAUGUUUUAAGAUUACACCUAAACUAGAUCCAUCCUAGUUUUCAUCUCUGGGAAAACAUGAGUUUCUUUGGGGGCAGCAGCAGAGGUGGUGGGUUUGAAGGACUGGGGGACUUCCUUGGACAAUACAGUCUGAACAAAGAGAAUCAGUGGACAAAUCUGACCUGAUAAAUAAGUCUUAGUCAUCUGAGGGGCGGAAUGAUGUGAUGAGUCGCUUGAAUGUAUCCUUAACAUAGUAUUUCCUUUCAGCACUGACUCAUAGGAGAAUUUUAGGAAGAAAGAAAGAACUAUGACAUAGAACUGAAAUUACUAUGUGAGAUAGAUAUCUUAUAGCUAUAAGGCAUUGGACAAAAGUUUUUAUCCUUUAAUAGAGAAUAAGAAAAAAGGAUGGAGGCCUUGUCUUCUAUUUUGCCUCAGAAAUAUCGUGCAUUAUAGGGACCAGAAGGUGCACUGGUAAUAUGAUAUCCAGACAGGUCGUAUCAGAAAGCGUCAAAGAUGUCAUGCAAAGGCAUCAGUACCCACUGGAGCUCACAGUCACUGUUGAUUACUAUCCGUGUAAUCAACAAGGAUGGAAGGAGGAACAGAAGAGUGCAGUGGUGGCUAGACAGAGUUUUGCAUCUAUUUUCGUGCUACCUUGAAAUACCUGGAACAGAACUCUAUAGAGGGUAUUAGCAAGUGACAGGUUACACACAAACUAGAUAUGUUGAGGAAGAUGAGUUAAUGGAGCCACUGUGCAGUCUGAGAAAGCUUCAUGAAGCAGGAAGAUUUCUGCUGGACCUAGAUUUAUAAAGAGAGAUGAAGGUGGUGGGGAAAAGCAGUACUGAAAGAUGAAGAUGAGCAAAAACAAGAAAUAUUUGUGAUCUGUGUGGGAGAUUGUGAAUAUAGCUGUGACUGUAACUCUGUCUACACUGAGAGAGAAUAGUGAGAAACUGGGUGAGAAAUGGAUAUUGGGGCCAAAAUUAAAAAAACCUGUAGCUCCAUCAGCUCAAAAUAGGAAUCCCCUGCUAUGAAGUUUUCAGACUCUUUCAGACAGGCAUAUUUCCCUAACCAGGCAGUAAGUACUUGGCAUAUUUUAUUGUCAAUUUUAAAAAGCUCUGUGAGGAAGUACUACUAUAUUUUCUACACAUCAAAAUUGAGGCUGAGUUUAAGUAACUAGCCCAACGUGACACAACAACAGUGGAGUAGGCAUUUGAGACCAGAUGUAUGGGGUUCACACGCCACUAUAACACAUCACCUGUCCUAAUUUUGCUCUAGUAACUGAUGAGUUCUCAGUGGGGUCAUUUCACGUUUCCUCACUGUGUUCUAUUUCCUCGGAUAAGAUAAUAGUGAUUCUCCAUUACAUAAAGAUAGAAAAAACAUUAAUGGUGAUCUCUCAGUUUUUGAAAUCAGUUCUUUCAAUAAUGUUUACUGUUAUAUUUUUUGAAGACAGUGAAUUUUAAGUUUUUUAUUUGGGUGCCUUGCAAUGAGUCUGCCCACAUCAUGUAUUCUCCAGUGAUUCAUGUUUGUAUGUUAAAACUAUGGGAGAUGAGGUGCCUGGUACCUUCAUGAAAGAUACGUUCUUUUGCCCUCAGUGACCUAGAGGUGGCGUUUAAGCGUUAAGGGAAAUAAGAAGAGAGAAAGGAAAUAGAUUUUUAAAAGGAACAUGAGGCAGGUGAAGGAAGUGUUGAUGACAAGGGAGAUUGGAAUUAGAUUCCCCCAUGUGGGUGAAGUGAUUAGGCUUGACUUGGUUUACUUACCAAAUGAACUUCAGAGUUGACAAGACCAGCCUUCUGGACCAGAAAUAGACAUGACUUAAGGCUUUUAGAUACCCGUCCUGACCAAAAAAAAUCAAUAAAGCGUCUCUCUACUGCUGAAAGAGGAGGAUCCUUCUAUCAACUCUAAAUACCUGUGAGCAUCUAAAUUAAUUAGUUUCCAGGAAACUGUUAAAAGUUGCUUUGAAGACAGUGGAGAAUUACCCAAAGAAUAAGCUACCAUGAUGGCCCACCCUAAGGAAGGCUAACAGCAGUAACUGGGAAAUCGUGUUCCUGAGCGUGGUUGGAAGACAGCAGCACCCUCUUAUGUUCAGUGGGAGGUACCUAAGCUCCUUUGCCGCCCCUUCUGACUGCUUUAUGUAAAAUAUAUUUAAGCACACUUUAUCUUCCUGAAUCAGUUUGACGUAGCAAGGAUAGCCUACCAAGAAAGUUCAUCCUUGGUAGAAAAAUCCAAUUUUAAGAGGUAAAGGAAAGAAAGUACGUUACACAGUUCAGAUAUUAUUAUGCAUGGUGUGGCUUUCUCCUCAUUUAAAUCGGGAAAAUUUUUCCAAGUUAUUUAUGAACUCAGUGAAGAAAUUAAAGUGUGCUAUCAAAUAUACCUUGAUGUCUGUUUAACCCAAACAUUAGUCAUGCAUUUUCAAAUUUCCAGGUGAAAAAAAUAUAUAUCCUUAGUUACUCUUUCAAAUGCCCUUUGCAGAAAUGGGCCUUGGAAUAACUCAGUAGAGGCUUGAUAAGGUAGUGGUGGAACAGAGGAAUGAUGGAAAAUAAAUUAGUCUCCAGGAAACAUUAUUUUGAUAUUUACAGUUGGAAUUAAUUUUUAUGCAUGAGUCUCUGAGGUGAUAGUGUAAAAUGGAUUCUUCAAAUAUGUUCAUAGAUACCAUCAUUUUAUUAACAUACCAUUAUUAUUGCAAUAAUAAUGAAUAUUACUGUAACUCCUUUUUAGCUCUCAAGUAGAUCCAGUUCCCCCCACCUUCUCUGCUCCUGGACUGAUAUAAUAGACUCUUAACUGUUCCCCAUAGCUCCAGUUUGGCUCCUGCUCAGUCUGUUUGCCAUCAGGUGGGGCUUAGUGUCUGCAGGGUAGUGGAGUUCCUCUUUUGUCCAUUGCUCUCUAUGUGGCAGGAGAGUAGCAAGGUCUGAUGCAUUUGCUAAGGAAAUCAGUUCUAGCUCUGGUGUCUGGUUUAUAAGUCUAAACAUUACCAUGUCAGAAGAGCACAGACUUCUAGCAGCAUUACUCUCUAGAUACAGAUGCCAGGAAUCACUCACUUAGGUGCAUCUGCUGCUAUAGGAUUAAGUCUUAGUGUUGGUAUUUGUAUUUCCUCCCCUCCCUGGACCUAAAGGGAGCCUUUGUUACCUAAGUUAUAAUAACAGCCUUAACCCCCUCUUAAAGAGAAGGUGUUAAUUCGAUAAAGUAGUAGAAAGCAAAGUGAAUUACAACAGAAUUCAAGCAGAGGGCCUCCUUCCUCUGAUGGGGAGCUUGGAAAAUUUUGUACAGUGCUUCACUGAAUUCCCUGGGCUCUGAGGCACUUGGGUCCUUGUGGAAUAGUACUUACUGUUAGGAAUUUUGUUAUAAGAUUACCAAGUGACCUUUUUCCCUGAAUGAAAGAUUCCAGAGAGUUUCUGUGCCUUGCCAAGUAUGGUAAAUUUUAGCCCAGUUCCAUUUGCCUAUAGAAAAGGAUCACUAGGCUUUUUCCACUGGCAGGAUUAGUUGGUAAUUAAGGGCAUCAAAAACAGUGCAAAUAGGAUCAUGAAAUACCUUAUUUACCAGAGCUGCAUUCUAGCUCAAGAUAACGAAUAGGCAUGAAAUAAAUGAUCUUUUCCAAGCAAGGAGGUGAAAGAGCAAGAGAACACAUGGUCAGCUCACAUAACAGGUGAAAAACAAUUAUAUUGGGAGUUCAGAACAUGCUGGAUUCCUUAUUAAAAUAAAAGUCAGCACACAAAUACAAACUGAGUCACUAUGAUGUGAGAGGCAUUAUCCUAAGUUCUGAUGAUGGUGGAGAUCCAGAAAGAUCGAUCCUAAUGGUAAGGACCAUAAGAAGCUUAAGGGAUUGGUGGUUUGGAAUUGGCAUCUGCACACUGUGGUAUAUGGAAUAAUUGGCUAAUGGGGACCUGCUGUACAGCACAGGGAACUCUCCCCAAUAUUCUGUGAUAAUCUAUAUGGGAAAAGAAUCUGAAAAAGAAUGGAUAUGUGUAUAUGAAUAACUGUCAUAUAGCAGAAAUUAUCACAAUGUCGUCAAUCAAGGAUACUUCAAUAAACCUUAAAAACAAAGAAUCUUACAUUAUUUUGGGGGGAGGUGUAUUCUAAAAUGUCAGAAGAAACUGAGUGACUCAAAGAGAGGUUAAAGGCUUUAUUUAGCUGAUCUGCUUAGGCAGCAUCUGAAGAUCAGGUAACUCUCCAAGUGUCAGCAGGGUUGAAAUUUUUACAGCGAGAGAUGAGAGGAGGGGUACCUGUCCUGGUCUGGCUCACUUAGAAGAUUUCAUCUUCAGCUGCUGUAAUUCUUGCUGUUGGAGAUUGUUUUGGUCGUUUGGCUUCUUGCUCAAAGUCGUUGUAUUAUCACCUCCAAAAUUGUCAGAACAUUUCUUUUGAAGCCUAUUUUUAUAAACUUGGCCAUCUAUUGGUUGGUCAAGGUUCAAGGGCAGGGACUACAGGAAUAAAAAAAGGGAAAGAGAAUCAAAAAGGAAGCGAGGCAGUUGUCAAAGGCAGUUCUUUUACAGAAAGCAUCACACAAAUAAAACAUCAGAGCUACAGUAUUUGUAAAUUGAAUCAAAAAAGUAAAUUCAGGAAAGUGUGGAAGAGAGUUGUUAGAGAGACAUCUCAAGGAGACAUUCAGGUUGAAACCUUAAGAAAAGCUGAAUAGGAGAAAGCCGUAUGGAGUUUUUUGAGACUUGGCAACUAUAGAUGCCAGGAAGUGGGAACACUCCGGGCAUACUUUCGGAGAAGACAGAAUAGAGACAGAGGUGGGAGACAAAGAUCCAGGUAGAGGGUUUGUAGGAUGUGCUUUGGUAUUUGGUGAGCCAGGAGGAGAGGAAAAUAAGGAUGCAGAAAAGUUCAUAUUUGAUUGUAGGUAUUUUGAACUGGCACUGGCCCUUGCUGCCUUGAGCGGGUGUUUAGAGCAGACUCUGAUGGGGUGUUUGGAGUGGUGUCUCUCAGACAUCCAUAUGCUUCGAAAUCAUCGGGGCAUUUGGUUCAAAUGCAGAUUCUAACUCAAAAGGCCUGAGAUAGGGCCUGGUAUUCUAUUGUCUAACAAAGUCCCAAGUCCCAAGUUUGAUGCUUAAGAGUGCCCGGAGUAGGGGGCUUCAGGGGCUUCUUUGGAGACUCUUCUGUCCAACUCCCCUCAGGAUUCAAGGCAUGAGAAUGAGCACACCUACGUUUUACUGUCUUUCUUCUUCCCCAUGCAAAUUUCCAUGGGGAGGCUUUUCCUCAGUCUACCUGUGAGCCCACAUGACACCAAUGUCUCCUUAGAUGACUGGUUCUUGAUAGAUUUCCAAUUCAAACUGAAAAAUGGCAAAAGCAAUUUAAAUCACCUUCCCUCCAGGUGUUUUUAAUAUGUUGAGCUUAUUCUAUCAUUCGUUUUUUUACACAUUCUACCUUGUCUCUGAGGAAGAGUAAUCAUUGUUCAAUGAAAAAUACUAAUUUCUCACUUUAUUUCCAGAGCUAUCUUUUUCUCCACUUGGGAACCCUGUAGACUGCAGACAACACACCCUCAAAGUAUCCAUCCCCCUUUAAAUACUGGAAAUUCUAAAUUAUGCUAAGUCAGGUAAAACUCAUUUCUUGGUGGAAAAACAAGGUGUUUGUAAGUGCAUGUAUGUAAAGGCAGUGAUUAUUCUAAAAUCUGCCUAAACAAACUAAGAACAAUGGGGAAAUUUUUCCUCUUCGGUGCUUAAUUAUCUUAGAAACCCUAAGUAUUUUGCAUUCUCUUUACAAACACAAAGUAAGGGGGAAAGACGCCAAACAAACUGACCUUAAUAUUUUGCUUCAUUGCUUAAUUUUAAGGCAAGAAUUUUGAUGAAGAGCAACAGGCUGAAGAUAUUAGUAGGCCUAGGGUCUGCUCAGCAACCUACUACAGGUGUGAACUUCGGCUAAUUGAUUAGGCCCUUCUGAGUCUCAGACUCCUAUAUGGAGUCUGGAUUAUAGCAGCAUUUCAUGUUUGUAACCGUUAAAUGUAAAUGAGAAGCAAAGUCUCUGGUACACUGUAAGCUCUCAGGAGAUGUUAGGAAUUAAUAUUAGUAGUAUGAUUGCUAAUGAUUCUUUUUCCACGAGAAGAAAUCCGAUUCAGGAGGAACUGGCUGGCAGAGCCUUCAAAACUUGGUCGUGAUCUGAAGCUCACAUACCAGCUGCUAAUUUGCUUGUUUAUUUCAUUUGAUUUUCCUUAGCUGCACAGAAGGGAGGUGGGUGGCAGAAGCUUAAUUUAUUUGUCC